rnacentral:rRNA from 1 species
CCUACGGGAGGCAGCAGUGGGGAAUCUUGGGCAAUGGGGGCAACCCUGACCCAGCGACGCCGUGUGGGGGAUGAAGGCCUUCGGGUUGUAAACCCCUGUUAGGUGGGACGAAUGUCUCUCUAUGAAUAGUGGGGAGACUUGACGGUACCACCAGAGAAAGCCCCGGCUAACUCCGUGCCAGCAGCCGCGGUAAUACGGAGGGGGCGAGUGUUGUUCGGAAUUACUGGGCGUAAAGGGCGCGCAGGCGGCUUGGCAAGUCGAGUGUGAAAUCCCUCGGCUUAACUGAGGAAUGGCGCUCGAAACUACCUCGCUAGAGGGCGGGAGAGGGAAGUGGAACUCUCGGUGUAGGGGUGAAAUCUGUAGAUAUCGAGAGGAACACCGGUGGCGAAGGCGGCUUCCUGGCCCGCAUCUGACGCUGAGGCGCGAAAGCGUGGGGAGCA